rnacentral:rRNA from 1 species
UACAGAGGGGGCAAGCGUUGUUCGGAAUUACUGGGCGUAAAGGGCGCGUAGGCGGUUCGAUAAGUCAGCUGUGAAAACCAUGGGCUUAACUCAUGGCCUGCAGUUGAGACUGUCGGGCUGGAGUGUGGGAGAGGAGAGUGGAAUUCCUGGUGUAGCGGUGAAAUGCGUAGAUAUCAGGAGGAACACCGGUGGCGAAGGCGGCUCUCUGGACCACAACUGACGCUGAGGCGCGAAAGCUAGGGGAGCAAACAGG